UACGUAGGGUGCAAGCGUUGUCCGGAAUUAUUGGGCGUAAAGAGCUCGUAGGCGGUCCUGUCGCUGUCGCUGUGAAAACUCAGGGCUUAACCCUGAGCUUGCAGUGGGUACGGGCAGACUAGAGUGCGGUAGGGGAGACUGGAAUCCUGGUGUAGCGGUGAAAUGCGCAGAUAUCAGGGAGGGAACACCGGUGGGCGAAGGCGGGUCUCUGGGCCGUAACUGACGCUGGAGGAG
rnacentral:rRNA from 1 species